ACAGCAUUUCCUUUCUUCUCCCUAAGAUUAUUUCUGGACUCUGCAAACCUCUUCUUCCCUGUGGCUCAAUGCUCCAGCAGCAAAGCGAUGGGGACUCUCUGGAGCUGUAGAAGCGGGUGACGCAGGAGCGGGUGAUGCAGCGGGUCUGUGAGGACAAGUCUCCAGAGGCAGAAUGAGGACACCAAGCGUGGGGAACCCAGAACGAGGGAAGCAACGAGCCUGCGCAGGAGCAAGAAAAAUACGGUAAUGUUGCUGGAAGAAAACAGCUCGGAAAUGAAUCUCAACCCAACUCCAUUUUGGAGGGAAUCUCCUGAAACAUUUUCAUUUCAGAGAAAAAUGGCAAAAUCGCUGCAGAAUGAGCAUUUGAAAAAAAAAAAAAAAAGUUGAUUAAACAGAAGAGGGAAAGAUGGAUGCAGACUGCAGGACUAAACCCCAAGGAGCUGGUGUGCGGGGGCCAGGCAGCACGGCGGGGGUCUGCCUGAAGCAGGAGGCGGCAAAUCCAGGGACCCGGCGCUGCAGCGUGGUGAAGGACAUGCUCCGUUUUCCAUAUACAACAGAAAAAGCAUCUUCCCUUUCAGUGGAAAUCCCAGCCAAAGCUAGGUGGGGCGAGGACGGCUGGUUCUGCAAGAGAAGUCCACGUGCUCCCAGACCUCGACUCGCACCCGUCCUGCCAUGGUUUCAGGUCUGGCUCCAGAUUUCCCUUGCGUCUCUCUGGAUGGAGGCAGGCGCUUGCAGCACCACUGGACACCGCGCACACCCCUUCUUUUUUGGGGAAAGCAAAUGGAAGUGCAGUUUGUUUCCAGAAUACGUCUUCUUCGCGGCUGCGCUAUUAGUGGGCGCUCGGGCCCUUCUGAGCUCAGCGGACUGAUGCAGCUGCUCGUUAACUGCACAAAAACCUGCGCCUUUACGAGGGAAGGUGUGUUGUGGUUGGCCGGUUUAUGAUGAUGGUGAUCGGGAACUGAUGUGGGAUUGCUGGAAACGGAUAAAGUGCUACUAAAACCUGUAAUGUUUUAUCUUUGAUUUGCCGAAGCACAGGAUCAGCACAUUAACAGCUCAGCUGCAAUCAGGACCUGCUUCUCUUCUUGCAGAAACUGGCACCAGGGUAAAUCUCUGAUUCAGCACACUAUUUCGGCACAAGCGAAGCACUAAGCAUGUGGAACAGACAGCGAAGUCUCUUACCCCUUUAUACCCGCCUCCAGCUGCCCAGAGAUCUGUGCAAACCUCUCUACAACCGUCCCUUAUGGAUGAGGCUUUGCCCUCCAGCCCUUGGACCUGCGAAGAGCCAGAAGAUGCAGGAGGGAUGUCAGCCUCAUGGAAAGCCCGGUCCUCCCUCCUGUCCCAAAUAGCAGAGGGAGCAGCUCUGGAUGUUAUAACCCAGCAGCGGAACCAUAUGCAGACACGUUUUCAUGGCCUGUCCAAGCCACAGGUGAGACGAUGACUAAAAUCCUGCUAACAUCGAACCGGAAAUUUAGUAUUUUGGCUUAAGGAAACCCGAAUGCCCAGAAGGUCUGCUGGGGAACAAAAAACCACAACAAACUACAAAAAAAAAUCAUAGAGGCUCCACAGUGACAUAAUUGUGUGACUUAGCAGCAGGGCUCCCACAAGGAAUAAGGAAUGCAUCCCACCAAACCAGUGAUUUAUUGCUGCAAACUCUGGCACAGACAGAGAGAUCCACGCUCCUGCAGACAACCCCUCAGCACAGACAGGUCAGCAAAUCCUGUCUUCUUCUAGGGAAUCACUCUUGUCAUGUCAAAACCCUUUCCUUACUCCCAGCGGCACAAGUCAGUGGAUGCCAGGGGGCGAAUGGGGCAUCGCUCUCCGUCAGAGCAUCUCCAGGUGUCCGUGUCUGCUGGGGCUAAGCCGAGCUGUGGUCCUGUGCCUUGGGGAAGGAGAGGAGUUCAGGUCGGUCUCAGCUUGGCUUAUAUCUUUUUGCACUACCAGUUAUGUGUAUUCAAAUCUUCUGUACUCAGAUGUCUACAAAAAAAUAAUAAAAUGCCCCUCCUCUGCUCAGGAUGUCUUUUAUAGUGUAACGUAAACAGCUACCCUGUAAUUACCAUGAAUAAUGCCACGACCAUUCCCUUGCAGUAAUACAGAUCAGUGCUCCCACCGCAAGCCCUGCAAACAAAUUUAUCAGCUGAGCUUCUCUGCAUUGGCAAGAUCCUUUGCGAUAUCACGCGUGAGCUGAAUUAGUAUUCUUGGGAUGGCAGGAAAUGCUUUUUCUUCCAACUAUUUCUGUGCGCAAGCAGGCUCUGGUGGUGCAGCUGACUCCGCCGAGCCUGGAGCACAAGGAACAGUUUUCCCCAUCUCCUUCAUCUGCGGCUUCGCUGAAGGCUGGAGCAUG